rnacentral:rRNA from 1 species
AACAAGGCGCCGGGACCUGAUGGUUUCACGGGGAUCUUCUUCAAGAAGUGUUGGGGAAUCAUCAAGCAUACGAUCAUGGGGGUCAUUCAACGCUUCGAUUGCUUACACACCUCCAACCUGCAAUGGCUAAACUCUGCCAAUGUUGUUCUGCUGCCUAAGAAGGACGGCGCGGAAGGCAUCUCUGAUUAUAGGCCCAUUAGCCUCAUACAUGCCAUCGCUAAAAUCAUUGCCAAGGUUCUAUCGCUACGCCUUGCGCCCCACAUGGAUGACCUCGUGUCCAACGCCCAGAGUGCUUUCAUUAAAAGGAGAAGUAUCCACGACAACUUCAUGUAUGUUCGGAACUUUGCCCGGCGUCUACACAAAUGCAAGAACCCCGCACUCCUUUUCAAGCUUGAUAUAAAAAAGGCUUUCGACUCAGUCAAGUGGGGAUACAUUCUUGAGCUGCUCCAACGGUUGGGCUUCCCUCCAAAAUUUCGAGCUUGGAUUGCUGCGCUUCUAUCCUCUUCUUCAUCUCGGAUAAUGCUAAACGGGCUACCCGGCCCUCCUAUCAAGCAUGGCCGCGGAUUCAGGCAGGGGGACCCCAUCUCUCCACUCCUCUUCGUCUUGGCAAUUGACCCCUUGCAUAAGAUCCUAGACUUGACGAUGCGAAAAGGGCUCCUACAUAAGAUCCAUGGUCGGGGUGCCAUGGUGCGCACCUCCCUCUAUGCGGAUGAUGCGGCGGUCUUUGUGGCCCCCAUCAAGCGGGACAUUGACAAUCUUGCCUCUAUCCUCAGAGGCUUUGGGGACGUCACAGGCCUUUGUUCCAACUUCCAAAAAAGCUCGGUUGUGCCUAUUCGCUGCAAUCACCUUGACCUUGAGCAAAUUCUUCAGAGCAUGCCGGCGGCACGUGCCUCUUUUCCGGUCAAAUACCUAGGACUACCACUAUCUGUUUGGCAACUGAAGAAGGUGGAUUUCCAAUACCUUGAGGACAAAGCGGCCGGCAAAUUGGUCACUUGGGAGGGCCAAAACAUCACUACGAUCGGUCGUACGACACUUGUUAGGUCGGUCAUUACCUCCCAAGCAGUAUUCUCCAUCACGCCCCUCAUCGUGCCUCAGAGCUCUCUCCAUAGCCUUAACAAAAUUGAGAGAGCUUUCCUUUGGUCCGGCUCAGACAAGACAACGGGAGCCAAAUGCAAGGUCAACUGGAAGGUGGUUUGUAGACCAAAAGAAUAUGGUGGCCUAGGGGUGCUCGACACCAACAAGUUUGCACGUGCUUUGCGGCUCCGAUGGCUAUGGUAUGAAUGGACGGAGCCCCGAAGAUUAUGGGUUGGCCUUGGAAACCCGUGCACGGAGGAGGACCUCGAGUUUUUCUAUGCCUCUACGACUAUCACUGUAGGGGAUGUCGCCAAAACGCCUUUUUGGGGCUCCCCGUGGCUUCUUGGUCGCAAACCCAAGGAUAUCGCGCCACUCUUGUUUGCGGCCUCGAGAAGGAAGAAUUGGAAGGUCCGUGAGGCCCUCAUGGGGAACGCUUGGAUCUUCAAGAUCAAUCUGAACACGGACACGGAUGUCUCCAUCGCCCACAUUAGGGAGUUCUUCACUCUUUGGAUGCUCCUUAAUGACGUCCACCUUCAUGAGCAAACCGAAGACCUCAUCGUUUGGAAGCAUACGAACGAUGGGAUCUACACGGCGGCCACCGCAUACAAGGCUCAAUUCCUAGGCAUGACUCUUUCCCCCUUGGAUCGCAUGGUUUGGAAGGCAUGGGCACCUCCAAAGGUUAAGUUUUUUGCUUGGUUGGCGUUGCAAGAUAGGAUUUGGACCGCCGAUCGCUUGGAGCGUCGAGGUUGGCCAAAUUGUGGCCUUUGCAAGCUCUGCAAUAGGGAGCAAGAAUCAGGAGCCCACAUUUUCUUCAAGUGCCGCUACACGAUUCGGCUAUGGAAGUCUCUUAUUGAGAAACUAGGUCUUGCGCAC